rnacentral:tRNA from 1 species
CCCUGGUUAGCUCAGUUGGUAAAGCGCUCCACUGGAAAUGCAGAGGUCCCGGUUUCAAUACCCGGAAGAGGCG